GGUCAGGACACAAGUUUGAUUGACAGGUUAAUAGCCCUUUCUUGAUUGUGUGGUGGGUAGUGCAUGGCCGUUUCCAGUUCGUGGAGUGAUCUGUCUUGUUAAUUCAGAUAACGAACGAGACCUAAGCCUUUAACUAGCCGUAGGCCUUUUCCUUCGGGGAAGGGUUAGUUUGUCGGAACUGGCUUCGGCCUUUUCCAAAACCUACGAGACUUUUGUCAGCUUCUUAAAGGGACUUCAUUCGUAAACUAGGAUGAGGAAGAUUUAGGCCAUAACAGGUCUGUGAUGCUCUUAGAUGUCCUGGGCUGCACGCGUACUACAAUAACGGUACCAGCGAGCGCUAUGGUUUUUAACCCCUUAUCCUAAUAGGAUUGGGAAAACUUUUCAAACACCGUUAUGACAGGGAUCGAGGAUUGGAACAUCCUCGUGAACGAGGAAUUCCUAGUAAGCGUGGUUCAUCAUACCACAUUGAUUACGUCCCUGCCUUUUGUACACACCGCCCGUCGCUCCUACCGAUGGGACGAAGAGAUGAACCUGGCGGACCAAACCGCAAGGUAAGGGAAACCAGUUAAAUCUCUUCGUCUGUAGGAAGGAAAAGUCGUAACAAG
rnacentral:rRNA from 1 species